rnacentral:rRNA from 1 species
AAUUGGAGGGCAAGUCUGGUGCCAGCAGCCGCGGUAAUUCCAGCUCUAAUAGCGUAUAUUAAAGUUGUUGCAGUUAAAAAGCUCGUAGUUGAACUUCGGGGUUUACCCAUUGGUCAGGCUUAAUUGUCUGUACUGGUGAGAUAAAUCUCUACCUUCUGAGGAACUUUCAUGUCAUUAAUUUGGUGUGAUUGGAAAUCAGGACUAUUACUUUGAAAAAAUUAGAGUGUUUAAAGCAGGCUAAAGUCUGAAUACAUUAGCAUGGAAUAAUGAAAUAGGACGGAUUGAUUCUAUUUCGUUGGUUUCCAGGAUCACCGUAAUGAUUAAUAGGGAUAGUUGGGGGCAUUAGUAUUCAAUUGUCAGAGGUGAAAUUCUUGGAUUUAUUGAAGACUAACUACUGCGAAAGCAUUUGCCAAGGAUGUUUUCAUUAAUCAAGAACGAAAGUUAGGGGAUCGAAGACGAUCAGAUACCGUCGUAGUCUUAACCAUAAACUAUGCCGACUAGGGAUCGGAUGAUGUUAAUUUUUUAAUGACUCAUUCGGCGCCUUACGGGAAACCACAGUGU